ACCCAUGUGUUAAGCAAGUAGUCAAUAGAUAAGUCGACUGUAGUUGCCUGUUCCCCGAAACACCCAUAAAUAAGCAUUAGCACAAGUAUAAGCCAUAAGAUAAGGGAGUCUUGUAUAUAACUAAGAAGCGGGUUAUUAUUGAAUCAGAGGAUUGAUCUUCAGAAGGAUAAAGAGAAUCAUCAUCAUCAGAAGAAGCAAGGGUUCAGAUAUUCCUGCCACCAGUUGCACCUUAGCUAGUUUAGCGUAAGAGAAAUUCAUUAGCUGACCCUAUUAAGUAAGUCGGAAACCAGAACUCCACAAACAAGAACAAUGAACUUUAGGGCUGGACUACCUUUCUUAUGAGACCCCUCUGGCUACUUAGUGAAAUUCUUGGAUUGACUGUUUUCAUUCCUUCAAUUGACUAGCGGACCUG
rnacentral:lncRNA from 1 species